CCUACGGGUGGCAGCAGUGAGGAAUAUUGGUCAAUGGGCGGGAGCCUGAACCAGCCAAGUCGCGUGAAGGAAGAAGGUACUUAGUAUUGUAAACUUCUUUUGUCAGGGGACAAAGGCGGAGACGCGUCACCGUAUGAGUGUACCUGAAGAAAAAGCAUCGGCUAACUCCGUGCCAGCAGCCGCGGUAAUACGGAGGAUGCGAGCGUUAUCCGGAUUUAUUGGGUUUAAAGGGUGCGCAGGCGGGUGAUCAAGUCAGCGGUAAAAUGUUGGGGCUAAACCCCAGCCAGCCGUUGAAACUGGUAUUCUUGAGUGGGAGAGAAGUAUGCGGAAUGCGUGGUGUAGCGGUGAAAUGCAUAGAUAUCACGAAGAACUCCGAUUGCGAAGGCAGCAUACCGGCUCCCUACUGACGCUGAGGCACGAAAGCGUGGGGAUCGAACAGGAUUAGAUACCCUUGUAGUC
rnacentral:rRNA from 1 species